rnacentral:rRNA from 1 species
UACGAAGGGGGGCUAGCGUUGUUCGGAAUUACUGGGCGUAAAAGCGCGCGCAGGCGGUCUUCCAAGUCAGUGGUGAAAGCCUGGAGCUCAACUCCAGAACUGCCAUUAAAACUGUGAGACUUGAGUACGAGAGAGGUGAGUGGAAAUUCCCCAGUGUAGAGGUGAAAAUUUCGUAGAUAUUGGGAAGAACACCAGUGGCGA